GGAGAACCAGUCUACCAUAGCUAAAUUAAAGAGGAGGAGGGAGAACCAAUCUAGUAGAGCUAAAUUAGAGAGGAGGAGGGAGAACCAAUCUAGUACAGCUACAUUAGAGAGGAGAAGGAGUGAGAACCAGUCUAGUACAUCUACAUUAGAGAGGAGGAGGAGGGAGAGCCAGUCUAGUAAAGCAACAUUAGAGAGGAGGAGAAGGGAGAACCAGUCUAGUAUAGCUACAUUAGCUACAUUAGAGAGGAGGAUUAGGGAGAACCUGUAUAGUAUAGCUACAUUAAAGAGGAGGACGAGCGAGAACCAGUCUAUUAUAGAUACAUUAGAGAGCAGGAGGAGGGAGAACCAAUCUAGUACAGCUUCAUUAGAGAGGAGGAGGAGAGAGAACCAGUCUAGUACAGCUACAUUAGAGAGGAGGAGGAAGAGGGAGAACCAGUCUACUAUAGCUACAUUAGAGAGGAGGAGGGAAAACCCGUCUAGUAUAGAUACAUUAGAGAGGAGGAGGAGGGACAACCAGUCUAGUAUAGAUACAUUAGUGAGGAGGAGAAGGGAGAACCAGUAUAGUAUAGAUACAUUAGAGAGGAGGAUGGAGAACCAGUCAUGUACAGCUAUAUUAGAGAGGAGAAGAGAGAACCAGUCUAGUAUAGAUACAUUAGAGAGGAGGAGGGAGAACAAGUCUAGUAUAGCAACAUAAUAGAGGAGGAGGGACAACCAGUGUAGUAGAGCUACAUUAGAGAGGAGGAGGGAGAACAAGUCUAGUACAGCUGUAUUAGAGAGGAGGAGGAGGGAGAACCAGUCUAGUACAGCUACAUUAGAGAGGAGGAGGGAGGAGAACCAGUAUAGUACAGCUCCAUUAGAGAGGAGGAUGGAGAACCAGUCUAGUAUAGCUACAUUAGAGAGGAGGAGGAGGGAGAACCAGUCUAGUACAGCUACAUUAGAGAGGAGGAGGAGGGAGAACCAGUCUAGUACAGCUACAUUAGAGAGGAUGAGGGAGAACCAGUCUAGUACAGCUAAAUUAGAGAGGAGGAGGAAGAACCAGUCUAGUACAGCUACAUUAGAGAGGAGGAGGAGGGAGAACCAGUCUAGUACAGCUACAUUAGAGAGGAGGAGGGAGAAC
ensembl:lncRNA